UACGGAGGGAGCUAGCGUUGUUCGGAAAUACUGGGCGUAAAGCGCACGUAGGCGGCGCAGCAAGUCAGGGGUGAAAUCCCGGGGCUCAACCUCGGAACUGCCCUUGAAACUGCAGUGCUUGAAUCUUGGAGAGGCGAGUGGAAUUCCGAGUGUAGAGGUGAAAUUCGUAGAUAUUCGGAAGAACACCAGUGGCGAAGGCGACUCGCUGGACAAGUAUUGACGCUGAGGUGCGAAAGCGUGGGGAGCAAACAGG
rnacentral:rRNA from 1 species